rnacentral:rRNA from 1 species
AACGAACGCUGGCGGCGCGCCUAAUACAUGCAAGUCGAGCGAGAAGACGUAGCAAUACGUUUGUAAAGCGGCGAACGGGUGAGGAAUACAUGGGUAACCUACCCUCGAGUGGGGAAUAACUAGCCGAAAGGUUAGCUAAUACCGCGUACGCUCCUUGGACUUCGGUUCAGGGAGGAAAGCGAUACCGUGGGUAUCGCGCUCUUGGAUGGGCUCAUGUCCUAUCAGCUUGUUGGUGAGGAACGGCUCACCAAGGCUUCGACGGGUAGCUGGUCUGAGAGGACGAUCAGCCACACUGGCACUGACGACACGGGCCAGACUCCUACGGGAGCAGCAGUAAGGAAUAUUGCGCAAUGGGCGAAAGCCUGACGCAGCGACGCCGCGUGGGGGAUGAAGGUC